GACGAACGCUGGCGGCGUGCCUAAUACAUGCAAGUAGAACGCAGUUGCGAACGGGGGAGUAAAGCGUAGGUAACUGCCUCAUAGCGGGGGGUAACUAUUGGAAACGAUAGCUAAUACCGCAUACGGUGAGAUGGAUCUGCGUUGGAUUGGGUAGUUGGUGAGGCAAAGGGUCCCCAAGGCGACGAUACAUAGCCGACCUGAGAGGGAGGUCGGCCACACUGGGACCGGGGCACGGCCCCAACUCCUUAGGGAGGGAGCCGUAGGGAAUUUUCGGCAAUGGACGGAAAUCUGACCGAGCAACGGCGCGUGAGUGAAUGAGGUUUUCGGGUCGUAAAGCUAUGUUGUUCGGGAAGCGGUAACUACCCAGAAAGGAACGGCUAACUCCGUGCCAGCAGCCGCGGUAAUAC
rnacentral:rRNA from 1 species